rnacentral:lncRNA from 1 species
GUAAGGGGAGAUAUGGUCAGGGCUCAAGAAAUGGACACUCUUGUCAGAAUCAGAGCGACCUGAGUGGCCCUCAGACUGGAAGCCGUUGGGGGUCGGGCUGGGGCACGUCGCACAUGCUCACACUGCACCUUUCGCCGAGUCGGAUUUCUCACCAGCAGUUGGAACACCCCAGACCCACCUGAUGGGGGCCUGACUGCACCUCGCUUCCUGCUGGCCUAUCGGGUGCCCUGAGCUAGAGGGCGCCGCCUGAGUGGCUCAGUGGGGAAGAGAGUGGGGCCUCUCUGGUUAAUGUUUACCCGCCAGGGCUGUGCCGGCCGGCCCAGGCUGGUUAGGCCCGGGUUGUGCAGAGAAGGGCCGAGGGGGAGGGGAAGUGAUGGGGCUUCCCCCCCCCCGCCCCCCGCCUUGUCUAGACUCCUCCCUGCGGCCUCCGAGUGAGCGAGCAGGUGACAAGAGGGCCCAGGAAGCCAGCAGUACUGUCCCCCUGCUGCGUGUCACGCAGUGUGUGGAAGUGCUGUGGUCAGGCCCUCCUGUUUAGAGAGGGGGCUAAAUAAGGGGUCUGUGACAAACUUAUUGCCAACUUAUUGUCUCCAUUCUAGAGCCUAGAAGUCCAAAAUCAAGGUGUCAGCAGGGUCGCCCUUUCUCUGAAGGUUCUGGAAGAUGACCCUUCCAGGGCUCUCCUGGCUUCUGGCAGCCUCAGCCUGUGGUGUUCCCUUAGCUUGUGCCCGCAUUACCCACCCUCUGCCUCCCUCUCCCUGUGGCUUCCAAGACCCUGUUUCCAGGUACCUGACAUAGCUGGAAUCAUACAGUACUUGUCCUUCCGUGCCUGACUUCUUUCACAUAGCAUGAUGUUCUCAGCAUUCAUCUGCGUUGUAGCAGGUACUGGAAUUCCCUUCCUUUUUCCAGGGUGAGUAAUAUUCCAUUGUGUGUGGACCCUAUUUUGCAUGUCCAUUCAUCCAUGGAUGAGCACAUGAGUUGCAUCCACCUUCUGGCUGUUGCGAAUAAUGUUGCUGUGAACAUGGGUAUACAAACAUCUCUUUGUAACUCUGUGUGCCAUUCUUUUGGGUAGAUACGCAGAAGUGGAAUUGCUGGAUCAUAUCACAAUUCUAUGUUUAAUUUUUUGAGGAGCCAUCAUAUCCUUUUCCACUGUGGCUGCACCACCUUACAGUCCUACUGACGGUGCACAAGGGUUCCAUUUCUCUGCAUCCUCAUCAACACUGGUUACUGUCUGGGCUUUUAGUUGUUUGUUUUUGAUAGUAGCCUAAUGGCUGUGAGGGGGUAGCUCGCUGUGGUUUGGAUUUGCAUUUCCCUAAUGAUUAGUGGAGGUGAGCAUCUUUUCUUUUGCUUAUUGGCCAUUUGUAUAUUUUCUUUGGAGCAAUGCCAAUUCACGUCCUUUGCCCUUUUUUUAACUGGGUUGUUUGAUUUUUUUUCUGGUUGAGUUGUAGGAGUCCUUUAUGCAUUCAGAAUAUUAAUCUUUCACCAGAUGUGCGAUUUACAAAUAUCUUCUCCCAUUCUUGGGGUUCCUGUUGUGGCUCAGUGGGUAGCGAACCCAACUAGCAUCCUUGAGGACGAGGGUUUGAUCCCUGGCCUUGCUUGGUGGGUUAAGGAUCUGGUGUUGCCCUGAGCAUGGUGUAGGCUGCAGAUGUGGCUCGGAUCCCACAUUGCUGUGGCUGUGGUACAGGCCAGCAGCUACAGCUCUGAUUUGACUCCUCGCCUGGGAACCUCCAUAUGCCACAGAUGCAGUCCUAAAAGGACAAAAAGACCAAAACAUAAAAAUAAAUAAAUACUAUUCUCAGUGGUAUAAAAUGUCUAACAACUAACAGUCAACCGCCCCAAAAAAAACCCCCAAUAUUUUCUCCCAUUCUGUUGGUUGCCUUUUCACCCUGUUGAUUGUGUCUUUUUAUACACAAAAGUUUUAAAUUUCGAUGUGGUCUAACUUUUCUAUUUUUACUUUUGUUGCCUGUGCUUUUGAUGUCAUGUCUACGAAAUCAUCCGCUAAAUCCAAUGUUAAGAUUUUCCCCUGUUUUCUUCUAAGGGUUUUAUAGUUUUACCUCUAACAUUUAAGCCUUUGUCCAUCUCGAAUUCAUUUUUGUGUGUGGUCUAAGGUAAAGCUCCAGUUUCAUUAUUUUGCAUGUGGCCACCAGGUUUCCCUGCACCACUUACUGCAAAGAUUAUUCUUGCCACAUUAUAAGGGUCUUGGCACCCUUGUUAAUCAUCAUUUGAGGUUUUACUUGAGAAUUUAUUAUGAGAACUUAUUUCUUUAUGUGAGAAUUUAUUUCUGGGCUUUCUAUUCUGUCCCUUGGUUUAUAUGCCUGUCUUAAUUAUAUGCCUCUCUUAAUGCCAGCACCACACUGUGUGGAUUACUGUAGCUUUGUAGUAUGUUUUGAAACUGGGAGGUAUGAGGCGUCCAACUUUGUUCUACUUUUUCAAGAUUAUUUUGGCUAUUCAGGGGUCCCUUGAAAUUCCAUAUGAAUUGGAGGAUGGGUUUUUCUAUUUCUGCCCCUCAAAAUGCCAUUGGGAUUUUGAGAGGGAUUGCAUUAAAUCUGUAGGUUGCAUGGGGUACUAUUGGUAUCUCAACAAUAUUAAAUCUUGGACUCCAUGAACACAAAUGUCUUUCCAUUCAUUCGUGCUUUAAUUUUUUCAGCAAUGUUUUGAGUUUUCUGUGUACAAGACUCUCACCUCCUUGUUCACAUUUAUUCCUAAGUAUUUUAUUCUUUUUGAUUAUUUAAUCUUCACAAAAUUUCAUUCGGGUUCAGCCAACAUUUGCCAACAUUCAUGUUUUUCCUCUUUCGUUUCUCCCUUUCUCAUAUAUUCUUGUUCAAUUUUCUUUGCUUUUUCGGCCGCCCCACGACACAGUUGAAUCUUGAGUCUCCCAAUCUGCGAGGGUUGGGAAAGUAGCAUCCUGUUUCCCUCAGGGUGAAUCAGCCCAGCCCCUUGAAAUAAAAAGAUAAAACUCUCUUUAAAACUCAGUUUUGAGUAAAACACAUUUGAAUGUUUCAUGAAAUAGUUCCUCGUGGGGCUUUUACUUCCUCAAAAAAUGUUUUUAGUGUAAGACACUAAAAUUUUAAAUAAAACUCAUAACUGGGGGCAGAGGGAAGGUACUUGUGUGGGGGCCUGUCUUCUGAGGGGCUUUGUUUCCACGUGUGACCUGACUGGGGCCGGAGGCAAUCUUCUCACCAAGCUGCUUGGGGAUUGAACCUCAGAGCCCUUCCUGAAACCCUCUCUUCGCGGAGAGAUGAGGGAGACACACGGGGCUGAGUCAGAACAGUCAUCCUGCCUGUCUGGCCCUUGUGGCCAAGAGGCCCUGGGACCCAGACCAUCUGGGUUUGUCUGUGUGUGUGUAAGUGUUUUCACGUCCCAUCCUUUGGCUCCAGGGUCCACCUAACACCUGGCAAAAUAGAGCGUGCUGGCCAGCGGGGCCUAAGGAGGCCUCCACUCAACCCUGCGUUCCACGAGAAACCGGAAGGAAAACAGCAGUAGCGCCCUGGUCUACACGUGAACACAGGAUCCGGUCACCGGCGGUUCCCAGGGAGAAGGUGGGGAAAACUGCGUGUCCCUGGGGCCCACAGUGUCAGCUCUGUCUGUCCAGGCUCAGCUUCCAAGCCGCCUCCAGCCAGGGACAUGCACCUGCCUCCUGCGGAGAGUUUAAUGCGUUUGGGCAGCUGUAUCCAGUCCCGUAAUCCCCACCACGAGCAAAGCCCAGAACGUCCAUCCCCCGCCCAAACUGCCCUCUUUGCCCCUUCCAACACCCGUGGCCCCCGUCAGCCACAAAUCUGCUUUCUGUCCCUACAGUUUUGCCUUUCCCCACAUGUAAUAUAAAGGGAAUUGUAUAAUAUGUAA